rnacentral:lncRNA from 1 species
CCACUAAAAUAUGACAUUUUUUAACAUCCUAUUCUAUGGCAAUUUGAUUAGACAAUACUAUGGCAUGUUUUUUCAUUCUAAAAUCUGAAAUUUUGGUCAUAGUAUACUAUGUCUUUUUUUUUUUUCAGACCAAAAUAUGAUUUUUUUCAUUUUCCUGCUAAAAUAUGACAUUUUUAACAUCCUAUUCUAUGGCAAUUUGAUCAGACAAUACGAUGGCAUGUUUUUUCAUCCUAAAAUCUGAAUUUUUUUCUCACCCUAAAAUCUGAAAUUUUGGUCAUAGUAUACUAUGUCUUUUUUUUUUUUUCCCAACCAAAAUAUGAUUUUUUCAUUUUCCCGCUAAAAUAGGAAAUUUAUAACAUCCUAUACUAUGGCAAUUUGAACAGACAAUACUAUGGCAUGUUUUCUCAUCCUAAAAUCUGAAUUUUUUUUUCACCCUAAAAUCUGAAAUUUUGGUCACCCUAAAAAUGCUAAAUAUGAACAAAGAAAAACAAUUCAGAAAAGGAAAAACCCCACAGUUGGUCCUGAAAGAAAAGAAGACUAUUGGCAGAAUAAUCAAACCUUUGGCUGUGUGAAGUGUUGUUAUUCUUAUGUUAAUUACAUCAAUAAAGGAUAAGGAGACUGACUGGGACUCCUGAGGUUGUGGGUUCAAGCCUUGCCUUAUACACUCGCAGUGAAAUUUCAAGUCUAGUGUUGAGAAAAGAGAGUGAAAUAGGACAAACCCAGAAUUGCCCUGUGUGUCUACGUAGCUCAGAGGAUAAGGAGACUGACUGGGACUCCUGAGGUUGUGGGUUCAAGCCUUACCUUAUACACUCGCAGUGAAAUUUAAAGUCUAGUGUUGAGAAAAGAGAGUGAAAUAGGAAAAACCUGGAACUCCCCUGUGUGUCUACGUGGCUCAGAGGAUAAGGAGACUGAUUGGGACUCCUGAGGUUGUGGGUUCAAGCCUUGCCUUAUACACUUGCAGUGAAAUUUAAAGUCUAGUGUUGAGAAAAGAGAGUGAAAUAGGAAAAACCCGGAAUUGCCCUGUGUGUCUACAUAGCUCAGAGGAUAAGGAGACUGACUGGGACUCCUGAGGUUGUGGGUUCAAGCCUUGCCUUAUACACUCGCAGUGAAAUUUAAAGUCUAGUGUUGAGAAAAGAGAGUGAAAUAGGAAAAACCCGGAACUCGCCUGUGUGUCUACGUAGCUCAGAGGAUAAGGAGACUGACUGGGACUCCUGAGGUUGUUGGUUCAAGCCUUACCUUAUACACUCGUGGUGAAAUUUAAAGUCUAGGGUCUAGAAAGAAGAGUGAAAUAGGACAAACCCGGAAUUGCCCUGUGUGUCUACGUAGCUCAGAGGAUAAGGAGACUGACUGGGACUCCUGAGGUUGUGGGUUCAAGCCUUGCCUUAUACACUCGCAGUGAAAUUUAAAGUCCAGUGUUGAGAAAAGAGAGUGAAAUAGGAAAAACCCGGAACUCGCCUGUGUGUCUACGUAGCUCAGAGGAUAAGGAGACUGACUGGGACUCCUGAGGUUGUUGGUUCAAGCCUUACCUUAUACACUCGUGGUGAAAUUUAAAGUCUAGGGUCUAGAAAGAAGAGUGAAAUAGGACAAACCCGGAAUUGCCCUGUGUGUCUACUUAGCUCAGAGGAUAAGGAGACUGACUGGGACUCCUGAGGUUGUGGGUUCAAACCUUGCCUUAUACACUCGCAGUGAAAUUUAAAGUCCAGUGUUGAGAAAAGAGAGUGAAAUAGGACAAACCCGGAAUUGCCCUGUGUGUCUACAUAGCUCAGAGGAUAAGGAGACUGACUGGGACUCCUGAGGUUGUGGGUUCAAGCCUUGCCUUAUACACUCGCAGUGAAAUUUAAAGUCUAGUGUUGAGAAAAGAGAGUGAAAUAGGAAAAACCCGGAACUCCCCUGUGUGUCUACGUAGCUCAGAGGAUAAGGAGACUGACUGGGACUCCUGAGGUUGUUGGUUCAAGCCUUACCUUAAAUUUACAGGUUUUGAAAACUAGACCUAAACGUACGUACGUAGCUCAGAGCAUAAGGAGACUGACUGGCACUCCUGAGGUUGUGAGUUCAAGCCUUGCCUUAUACACGCGUGGUGAAAUUUAAAGUCUAGGGUCUAGAAAGGAGAGUGAAAUAGGACAAACCCGGAAUUGCCCUGUAUGUCUACAUAGCUCAGAGGAUAAGGAGACUGACUGGGACUCCUGAGGUUGUGGGUUCAAGCCUUGCCUUAUACACUCGCAGUGAAAUUUAAAGUCGAGUGUCUAGUAAGGAGACUGAAAUAGGACAAACCCGGAAUUACCCUGUGUGUUCACAUAGACCAGAGGAUAAGGAGACUGCCUGAGACUCUUGAGGUCGUGGGUUCAAACCUUACCCACAUCUAGUUAAAUUUUAAAGUCCUUUAGCCAAAGUAAGAUGAUAAAAGCGGGCAUUCCGCAUGCCCUAGUGUGGAUCCUAUCUAAUGGCCUGCAUGGAAGUCUAUUGGCACCCAAUGGGGCCUGGUUUGAUAUCAACUCGUGGC